rnacentral:rRNA from 1 species
UACGUAGGGGGCAAGCGUUGUCCGGAAUCAUUGGGCGUAAAGAGCGUGUAGGCGGCUCGGUAAGUCUGCUGUGAAAGCCAGGGCUCAACCCUGGGAUGCCGGUGGAUACUGUCGAGCUCGAGUCCGGAAGAGGCGAGUGGAAUUCCUGGUGUAGCGGUGAAAUGCGCAGAUAUCAGGAGGAACACCGGUGGCGAAGGCGGGUCUCUGGGCCGAAAUUGACGCUGAGGAGCGAAGCGUGGGAGCAAACAG